rnacentral:rRNA from 1 species
UACGUAGGUGGCAAGCGUUAUCCGGAUUUAUUGGGCGUAAAGGGAACGCAGGCGGUCUUUUAAGUCUGAUGUGAAAGCCUUUGGCUUAACCGGAGUAGUGCAUUGGAAACUGGGAGACUUGAGUGCAGAAGAGGAGAGUGGAACUCCAUGUGUAGCGGUGAAAUGCGUAGAUAUAUGGAAGAACACCAGUGGCGAAAGCGGCUCUCUGGUCUGUAACUGACGCUGAGGUUCGAAAGCGUGGGUAGCAAACAGG